rnacentral:rRNA from 1 species
UGGGGAAUAUUGCACAAUGGGCGCAAGCCUGAUGCAGCAACGCCGCGUGAGGGACGACGGCCUUCGGGUUGUAAACCUCUUUUGGCAGGGAAGAAGCGAAAGUGACGGUACCUGCAGAAAAAGCACCGGCUAACUACGUGCCAGCAGCCGCGGUAAUACGUAGGGUGCAAGCGUUGUCCGGAAUUAUUGGGCGUAAAGAGCUCGUAGGCGGUUUGUCGCGUCUGCUGUGAAAACUGGAGGCUCAACCUCCAGCCUGCAGUGGGUACGGGCAGACUCGAGUGCGGUAGGGGAGAUUGGAAUUCCUGGUGUAGCGGUGGAAUGCGCAGAUAUCAGGAGGAACACCGAUGGCGAAGGCAGAUCUCUAGGCCGUAACUGACGCUGAGGAGCGAAAGCGUGGGGAGCGAACAGG